rnacentral:rRNA from 1 species
CACUAUCGUUAACUGAAUACAUAGGUUAACGAGGCGAACCGGGGGAACUGAAACAUCUAAGUACCCCGAGGAAAAGAAAUCAACCGAGAUUCCCCCAGUAGCGGCGAGCGAACGGGGAGCAGCCCAGAGUCUGAAUCAGCUUGUGUGUUAGUGGAACGGUCUGGAAAGUCCGACGGUACAGGGUGAUAGUCCCGUACACCAAAAUGCACAGGCUGUGAACUCGAAGAGUAGGGCGGGACACGUGGUAUCCUGUCUGAAUAUGGGGGGACCAUCCUCCAAGGCUAAAUACUCCUGACUGACCGAUAGUGAACCAGUACCGUGAGGGAAAGGCGAAAAGAACCCCGGCGAGGGGAGUGAAAAAGAACCUGAAACCGUGUACGUACAAGCAGUGGGAGCACCUUCGGGUGUGACUGCGUACCUUUUGUAUAAUGGGUCAGCGACUUAUAUUCUGUAGCAAGGUUAACCGUAUAGGGGAGCCGCAGGGAAACCGAGUCUUAACUGGGCGUUAAGUUGCAGGGUAUAGACCCGAAACCCGGUGAUCUAGCCAUGGGCAGGUUGAAGGUUGGGUAACACUAACUGGAGGACCGAACCGACUAAUGUUGAAAAAUUAGCGGAUGACUUGUGGCUGGGGGUGAAAGGCCAAUCAAACCGGGAGAUAGCUGGUUCUCCCCGAAAGCUAUUUAGGUAGCGCCUCGUGAACUCAUCUUCGGGGGUAGAGCACUGUUUCGGCUAGGGGGUCAUCCCGACUUACCAACCCGAUGCAAACUACGAAUACCGAAGAAUGUUAUCACGGGAGACACACGGCGGGUGCUAACGUCCGUCGUGAAGAGGGAAACAACCCAGACCGCCAGCUAAGGUCCCAAAGUCAUGGUUAAGUGGGAAACGAUGUGGGAAGGCACAGACAGCCAGGAUGUUGGCUUAGAAGCAGCCAUCAUUUAAAGAAAGCGUAAUAGCUCACUGGUCGAGUCGGCCUGCGCGGAAGAUGUAACGGGGCUAAACCAUGCACCGAAGCUGCGGCAGCGACACUAUGUGUUGUUGGGUAGGGGAGCGUUCUGUAAGCCUGCGAAGGUGUGCUGUGAGGCAUGCUGGAGGUAUCAGAAGUGCGAAUGCUGACAUAAGUAACGAUAAAGCGGGUGAAAAGCCCGCUCGCCGGAAGACCAAGGGUUCCUGUCCAACGUUAAUCGGGGCAGGGUGAGUCGACCCCUAAGGCGAGGCCGAAAGGCGUAGUCGAUGGGAAACAGGUUAAUAUUCCUGUACUUGGUGUUACUGCGAAGGGGGGACGGAGAAGGCUAUGUUAGCCGGGCGACGGUUGUCCCGGUUUAAGCAUGUAGGCUGGUUGUCCAGGCAAAUCCGGAUAAUCAAGGCUGAGGUGUGAUGACGAGGUACUACGGUGCUGAAGUAACAAAUGCCCUGCUUCCAGGAAAAGCCUCUAAGCAUCAGGUAACAUCAAAUCGUACCCCAAACCGACACAGGUGGUCAGGUAGAGAAUACCAAGGCGCUUGAGAGAACUCGGGUGAAGGAACUAGGCAAAAUGGUGCCGUAACUUCGGGAGAAGGCACGCUGGUGUGUAGGUGAAGUCCCUGCGGAUGGAGCUGAGACCAGUCGAAGAUACCAGCUGGCUGCAACUGUUUAUUAAAAACACAGCACUGUGCAAACACGAAAGUGGACGUAUACGGUGUGACGCCUGCCCGGUGCCGGAAGGUUAAUUGAUGGGGUUAUCCGUAAGGAGAAGCUCUUGAUCGAAGCCCCGGUAAACGGCGGCCGUAACUAUAACGGUCCUAAGGUAGCGAAAUUCCUUGUCGGGUAAGUUCCGACCUGCACGAAUGGCGUAAUGAUGGCCAGGCUGUCUCCACCCGAGACUCAGUGAAAUUGAACUCGCUGUGAAGAUGCAGUGUACCCGCGGCAAGACGGAAAGACCCCGUGAACCUUUACUAUAGCUUGACACUGAACAUUGAGCCUUGAUGUGUAGGAUAGGUGGGAGGCUUUGAAGCGUGGACGCCAGUCUGCGUGGAGCCAACCUUGAAAUACCACCCUUUAAUGUUUGAUGUUCUAACGUUGGCCCCUUACCGGGGUUGCGGACAGUGUCUGGUGGGUAGUUUGACUGGGGCGGUCUCCUCCCAAAGCGUAACGGAGGAGCACGAAGGUUAGCUAAUCCUGGUCGGACAUCAGGAGGUUAGUGCAAUGGCAUAAGCUAGCUUGACUGCGAGCGUGACGGCGCGAGCAGGUGCGAAAGCAGGUCAUAGUGAUCCGGUGGUUCUGAAUGGAAGGGCCAUCGCUCAACGGAUAAAAGGUACUCCGGGGAUAACAGGCUGAUACCGCCCAAGAGUUCAUAUCGACGGCGGUGUUUGGCACCUCGAUGUCGGCUCAUCACAUCCUGGGGCUGAAGUAGGUCCCAAGGGUAUGGCUGUUCGCCAUUUAAAGUGGUACGCGAGCUGGGUUUAGAACGUCGUGAGACAGUUCGGUCCCUAUCUGCCGUGGGCGCUGGAGAAUUGAGGGGGGCUGCUCCUAGUACGAGAGGACCGGAGUGGACGCAUCACUGGUGUUCGGGUUGUCAUGCCAAUGGCACUGCCCGGUAGCUAAAUGCGGAAGAGAUAAGUGCUGAAAGCAUCUAAGCACGAAACUUGCCCCGAGAUGAGUUCUCCCUGAGACUUUAAGUCUCCUGAAGGAACGUUAAAGACGAUGACGUUGAUAGGCCGGGUGUGUAAGCGCAGCGAUGCGUUGAGCUAACCGGUACUAAUGAACCGUGAGGCUUAACCUU